ensembl:lncRNA
UAUGCCUAUGAAAGACGAUCAAACCAAUCAGAGUAGGCGUGGGGCGGGCCCCGCCUCGAUCUGCAGGCUGCAGCCAGGUGUACUUGUUGUCAUGUCCAGUAGUGAUGAGCAUCUGAUCGUCUUCAGAGACACAAAGAUCUCAGUGUUGAGCUGUUCAUCUGCAGUAUGUCAGAGAAGAGAGGAAAGAUGAGUCUCUCACAGAAACAGAGUGUAAGAUCAGGAUCACAUGUGUCUGUGAAGAGUGACUGCUCAAAGGAUGAUCCACUAAACUUCAGUGAAGAAACAGCAUCACAAACCAAACAGUAUUUGAUGUGUUUCUUAUUUUUAUUUAAACAUAGACUGUGUCAGAAAGUGUAUCAGUGAAUAAUUAUCAUAAAACUUAUAGUCCAUAAAUGUAUCACUUAUUUAUUGUUUUUCUCUUUGCUAAAAUGUUUACAGUAUAUUUUGGUAAUAUUUUUUCAUCAAAAUGCAGUAUUUUGAUUUAUUUUAUUUACUAUCAGGGUUCAGUAUGAAACAUUAGAUCCAGAUUUACAGUCUCACGGGAACCGAAAGAGUUUUACAGACAGUCUUCUGCAGAUCUUCCAGGUAAUAAAACACAUUUUCAAGAAUAUUUAAUAAUUAUAAUAAACAAAUUUUAUUGAAUAAGAGUGUGACAGAACUUUUAUUUCAAAUUUUUUCUUAAGAACCCAUAAAAUAAAAAUGAGAACCUAUUUUUAUUUAUAUUUACAGCUAAUUAACGUUUGUCUCAACUUGAUUUUUGAUGAAUAUUUUUUAUUACUGAAUACAUUAUUUUUACCAAAUAUAGAUGGUGAUUUUUUUUUCUGUCAUUCAUUCUUGCCUUUCUUUGUAGGAUCUUGAGAGCAAAAUAAUCAAAUUUCUGAAGAAAGAACUGGAGGAGUUUAAGAAAAUAUUACAAAAAGAGGACAUUCAAAACUUUGUGAAGGACUUUAAUGAGAACAGAUGCAGAAUGAAAGAAGCAGCUCUUGAUCUCACGCUCAACUUCCUGAGAGAGAUGAAGCAAGAUGAAGCUGCUGAUACUCUAGAAGAUGAGCUGAUCUUCAUUCAUCAGCUAAAGUGUAGCCUAAAGAAGAAGUAUCAAUGUGUGUUUGAAGGAAUUGCAAAGCAAGGUGACUCUACACUUCUGAAGAACAUCUACACAGAUCUCUAUAUCACUCAGGGUUGUAGUGAACAGGUCAAUACUGAACAUGAGGUGAGACAGAUUGAAGUUGCUUCCAGACGUCAUGAAUCACAGGAGAUACAGGUUGAGUGCAAACAUUUGUUUGAAGCACCUGAACAAGACAAGCAGAUCAGAACUGUACUGACAAAAGGAGUUGCUGGCAUCGGAAAAUCAGUCUCUGUGCAGAAGUUUGUUCUGGAUUGGGCCGAAGGAAAAGAAAAUCAAGAUAUCAGCUUCAUAUUUCCUCUUCCAUUUAGAGAGAUGAACUUAAAGGAGCAAGAAAAACUAAGUUUGAUGGACCUUAUAACUCAGUUUUUCCCAGAGACAAAAGGACUGAAGCUUACAAGAAGAAAUCAAUUCAAAGUCUUGUUCAUUCUUGAUGGAUUGGAUGAAUGUCGACUUCCUGUAAACUUUAAGGAUAAUGAGACGUGGUCUGAUGUUUCAUCACCAGCCUCUCUGGAUGUUCUCCUGACGAACCUCAUCAAGGGAAAUCUGCUUCCUUCUGCUCUCAUCUGGAUCACCAGCAGACCAGCAGCUGCCAGUAAGAUUCCUCCUGACUGUAUCGACCGGCUGACAGAGAUACGAGGAUUCAAUGAUGCACAAAAGGAGGAGUACUUCAGAAAAAGAUUCACGGAUGAGAAUCAGGCCAAAGAAAUCAUUGAUCAUGUUAAACAAUCAAAGAGUCUCUUUAUCAUGUGCCACAUCCCAGUCUUCUGCUGGAUUUCAGCCACUGUUCUCCAGAACAUUUUAGAGGAGAAAAGAAAUAAUGUUGUGAAAAACAAUCAGGCUGAUGAUGCCUCCAAAACACUGCAGGAGUCAAAUACUGAAGACACUCCUAAGACUCUGACACAAAUGUACACACACUUCCUCAGAUUUCAGAUCCAGCAGAGCAGACGAAAGUAUGAUGGAGAACAUACACCAGAUGUUUCCUGGGAUAAAGAUGCCAUCUUUUCACUGGGGAAACUGGCAUUUGAUCAGCUGGAAAGAAACAAUGUGAUCUUCUAUGACACAGAUCUGGAAGCCUGUGGUAUUGACGUCUAUAAGGCAUCAGUGUACUCAGGCAUGUGUACCCAGAUCUUUAAGGAGGAAACAGGGAUCGUUCUUGGUACCAUGUACUGCUUCGUUCACUUGAGCAUUCAAGAGUUUAUUGCAGCCCUUUAUGCACAUCUGUUUCUAGACAUCAACAAGAAGUAUGUGUUUGAUCAAGACUCUACAGAACAGGAAAACAAAAGUGAAAACAUGAUUGAUUUGCUCAAGACUGCAGUGGACAAGGCACUAGAGAGUGAUAAUGGACACCUGGAUCUUUUUCUUCGAUUCCUCCUUGGUUUGUCACUCCAGUCCAAUCAGAGACUCUUACAGGGUCUGUUGACACAGAAAAAUAGAAAUGAUCAGAGCAAAAAGGAAAUAGUUCAGUACAUCAAGCAGAAAUUAGAAUCUAAUCUGUCUCCAGAGAGAUCCAUCAAUCUGUUCUACUGUCUGAAUGAACUGAACGACCAAACUCUGGUGAAAGACAUUCAGACCCACCUUAGCAAAGGAAGUCUCUCAUCUGCUGAUCUUUCACCUGCCCAGUGGUCUGCUUUGGUCUUUGUGUUGUUGACAUCAGAGGAGGAGCUGGAGGAGUUUGAGCUUCAGAAAUUCAAGAAAUCAGACGAGUGUCUCAUUAGAUUAUCGGCAGUCAUCAAAACCUCCAAAAGAGCUCUGUAAGUUAUUGUUCUUUGUUAAUGUUUUGUUCUCAUCUUAAAAUUGCAUUAAUCUACAUUGAUACAUAGCAGGUUUGGACACCUCUGAUCUUUAGUGAUUUAUUAACCAUAUACCGAUUAUAAGUAUAUAUGUUUUUUUAGGGUUAAGAGGAGACACUGCAGGCAAAAACAGAGUUUUUUCAUGCACCUGUCAAUAUUUAGAUUUUGGGCUUUUUGUGUUUUUUCAGACUUAUGGAAAGAAAACCUCCAAAAGUCACUGUUAAGUGUUUCUUUUAUAGCACUUUAUCUAUUUGUGUCAAUAGAUUUCAAUUACAAUACAUAUUUUUAAAGGCCGUUUUCUCAAAAUGAGUUUUUUCUCCUACUCUGAGCCAUAAAUCUCCAAUUCAGUGACACUUACACACACCGAACUUUACAUAUUUAUUCUUGUCUAUAUUCUAAAGGUUUUUACAGAGGGAUUUGUUCAUCUAAAAUUUUCUUGAUUAUAUACAACAUUUUAUUCUCCAAAAAAUGGUGAAAAUGUAUUGUUUUCUAGCUGUUCAAAGUAUUUUCUGAAUUAUGGAGUGACAAAAAGAGAUUCCCAGAAUUCCUUCUGUAAAAAUAUUUUACACUAAUAUGUCAAAAAAAUUAAACAAGAAUUUUGAAACUGACUUCAUCCAGUGUUCAGAUUUUUGUACUACAAAUUUAUGCAAAUUAGCGCAUAUUUCAUUAAAUAAUGGAUCAGUUGCAUAUUUAAAUAUAACAUUUUAGAAAACUUGUAAUACAAAAAAUGUUUGCAAUUAUCAAUGUAAUCAAUCAACUUGGUAAGUAAGGUGAUAACUAUUAGUUAAUUUUUUUACCCUAUUCACCUGCAGUGUCUUGCCUUAAAUAACACACAUUGUUUAACUUUAUUAUUAUUUUUUUAUAAUGGAGCAGAUGUUACUACACAGAGCCGUUGUUAACUGACAAGCUGCGCAAAUCCACGUUCAUUAUCAGCUUGGAUUUGCGCAACUUGUCAGUUAACUACGGCUCCGUGUAGUAACAGCUGCUCUAUGUGAAAUCACGCACCUGAUGGAAAUUACCGAUGAUUAAGAUAACCGGCUUUACUGACUAGAUGCGCAUUAAUCAUCGGCCUAUAUAUAUCUUGCACCCCUAACAUUGUUCCAUAGUUAUUUCUACUCCAAUAUGCAGUUCAACUUCUUAGACUUCUGCUAUAAAGAAGAUAUACACUUGCAUAACCUUAAUGCAUAAAUUAUUAACCUCCAGAUUCUCCACCUCAAGACACUCCUCAAGAUAAUAGAGCAGCACUUUUAAAUAUAUAACUCAUUGCCAUUAAUGAUAUAAGCCUAUUAUUAAUUUACAUAUUUUAUUAAGUUUAAUACAAGCAUACUAGUAUCAGUCUCUGGUUCAUGUUUUGUGUGUUUUUUACUCCUCCCGUGUCUUUAUUGCCCUUAUUUGGUCCUUCCUGUUCGUGUCCUUGUUUGAGUUUAUUUGUAUCCAGCCGUGUGUAUUAUUUAUUCCCAGGUGUUUCCCAUUGGUGUCCGUGUAUUUUAUAGUGAGUUCUGCGUCAGUUCUUUGUAAGCCAUCAAACGUCAUUCUUCAGUCAAGGCUGUCGGCCGUGGCUCUCUCUGGCGUGACGGUUGUGCCAAAGAAAAGCCUACCAGCUGCCCAGAAGCCAAGUCUGCCUGUCGUUCCCGAGUCAAGCUGGCCGGCCGUUCAUGUACCAAGCCCGCCAGUCGUUCAGCACUCUAGUUCGCCAACCAUGCCCUUACCAUGAGUAAAACUAGGGAGGAGGAGAAGGGUGUUGUCUCCAGCCCCAGAACUCGCUCUAGUGUGAUCCCCAGCCUUUGUUAAUAAAACCAUUUUGAUUUAUUCA